UACGUAGGGGGCAAGCGUUGUCCGGAAUCAUUGGGCGUAAAGCGCGUGUAGGCGGCUCGGUAAGUCUGCUCUGAAAGUCCAAGGCUCAACCUUGGGAUGCGGGUGGAUACUGCCGGGCUCGAGUCCGGAAGAGGCGAGUGGAAUUCCUGGUGUAGCGGGUGAAAUGCGCAGAUAUCAGGAGGAACACCAAUGGCGAAGGCAGCUCGCUGGGACGUGACUGACGCUGAGACGCGAAAGCGUGGGGAGCAAACAGGAUAGAAACCCU
rnacentral:rRNA from 1 species